rnacentral:rRNA from 1 species
GAUGAACGCUGGCGGCGUGCCUAAUACAUGCAAGUCGAGCGAACAGAUGAGGAGCUUGCUCCUCUGACGUUAGCGGCGGACGGGUGAGUAACACGUGGAUAACCUACCUAUAAGACUGGGAUAACUUCGGGAAACCGGAGCUAAUACCGGAUAAUAUAUUGAACCGCAUGGCUCAAUAGUGAAAGACGGUUUUGCUGUCACUUAUAGAUGGAUCCGCGCCGCAUUAGCUAGUUGGUAAGGUAACGGCUUACCAAGGCAACGAUGCGUAGCCGACCUGAGAGAGUGAUCGGCCACACUGGAACUGAGACACGGUCCAGACUCCUACGGGAGGCAGCAGUAGGGAAUCUUCCGCAAUGGGCGAAAGCCUGACGGAGCAAAGCCGCGUGAGUGAUGAAGGUCUUCGGAUCGUAAAACUCUGUUAUUAGGGAAGAACAAAUGUGUAAGUAACUAUGCACGUCUUGACGGUACCUAAUCAGAAAGCCACGGCUAACUACGUG